rnacentral:snoRNA from 9 species
UCGACGUAUUUGCGUGGCGUUGCCUUCGGGUGAAGCCGCGUGAGAGUGAUGCGUAGCUGUCUUUCAUACAGUGAUGAGCACACAACGUCGUAAAACAUGUUACCUUCCCCUUGUGGUAGAGGGUGGCGCUCGGCAUAUUCCAUAGCCAAGCUGGAGUCAUUUUGACUAUGAACGCGGCAAAACCAUGCUGUGGACAUUC